AGUUUUCCUCAACAGCCCCGUGUAGAUUCGGAUUCUGAUGAUUUCUGCUGCAGAAUAAUCGGAUCGUUCUUCACUUUGAAGUCAAAGAGGCAGAUCGUCGUGGUAAAGACUGCCGUUUAUGAAGUGCCUCAGGUACAAAUGAGAGGCAUUAGUUUGCAGGACCCUGGCGUGAAUAUCAACGGUUUGCUCCAUGGACAGUCGCUUCCCGUUGUCCCCCUUUGGGCGCAGAGUUCUCAUUGAAAGUAUCCCAGGUUUCUGCCCGUGUGCUUACUGGACAGAAUACGAGCACGAGGGGCUGAAACUACAAUGGAGCCUCUGACAUUAUAAGACUUUAGAAUUUAUAAACGCCUGCUAGGAUUUGAAGCGGCAUUUUCCUCCGAGGCGCCCGUGGCGGAUUGUUCGGCUGUGGGAUCUUUGAUUCGUCCAAAGUUUGACUGAGUUGAACCGUUUUUUCUACACAGCGGACUUAAGAGGAGUGACGGCUUUCAGUGUAACCGCCGUGAAGCUAUGAAGCCAGUCACAGAGCACCCUCUUCAAAGAUGUUCUUUAAAAAGACAUCUGAAGCACCUGAAUUUCUCGUUUUUUGGUGCGGAUUGUUUGCCUUUUCUUUUGUGUCUCUUCGCUGUAACUAUUCUUCAACAUCUUAAAAAUGUAUCAGUGAAAACUAAAUGAGAAAUCCAGAUGAGAAGCACCUUCAGGCCGUCUGGUUCUUUAUUCUGUAUUUCAAAGGCCCGCCGCUCUGAAUUAUACAGAGGUUCAUGUCUGCUUCCUGGCACAUUUGUAUAGACUGAACUCCGUAUUUUCCUCAGUGAUAAUCUGCUAACAUUCCUCUGAAAUAUGUGUGAAAAUAUUUGAAUGUGCAUCAUUUGCAACAAGUUUGUGUGCUUGCUAAACAAAGAACACAAAAUAGUUUCCCUUUCACGAUAAUUGUUUACUGGUUGGCUGAUUUAAUUAAAUUACAUUCAUUAAUUUGUAAUGUGGUUAAAAGCAGCACAUCAAUCAUCACAAGCAUUUUUAAAUUACUGCUGAUUAUCUCGUGCACGCCGCUGCUCACCUGUAAUGAUGAAGUAAGGAAGGUAAAAAGCAUUCGACCGAGAAGAGACUUCUCGUGCAGAUGGUUUGAGAAAGCGGCGGAUAAGCAGAGCAGCCGGGUGCUGCUUUGUGUGUGUGUGUGUGUGUGCGUGUGUGUGUGUGUGUCUGUGUGUGUGUGUGUGUGUGUGUGUGUGUGUGUGUGUGGGUGUGCGUGUGUGUAGGUGUGUGUGUGUGUGUGUGGCACGUGUGAUGGAGGGAAAGAUGGGGCGUGAACGGCGUGGAUGGAGCGGAUGGGGCGGAUGGGGCGGAUUGGGUGGAUGGGGCGGAUGGAGCGGAUGGGGCGGAUGGAGCGGAUUGGGCGGAUGGGGCGGAUGGAGCGGAUGGGGCGGAUGGGGCGGAUGGGGCGGAUUGGGUGGAUGGGGCGGAUGGGGCGGAUGGAGCGGAUUGGGCGGAUGGAGCGGAUGGGGCGGAUGGGGCGGAUGGGGCGGAUUGGGCGGAUGGAGCGGAUGGGGCGGAUGGGGCGGAUUGGGUGGAUGGGGCGGAUGGAGCGGAUGGGGCGGAUGGGGCGGAUGGGGCGGAUUGGGCGGAUUGGGUGGAUGGGGCGGAUGGAGCGGAUGGGGCGGAUGGAGCGGAUGGAGCGGAUGGAGCGGACGGAUAUUUUGUUUUAGACACAAAAUCCUCCCUCACGCGUGAUGAUUUGUGUUUAUUGAUCGGUUCAUCAAUAAGAGGUCCGCUGUGAGGUCCAUUGCUCGUUAACCACUAACGAGGUCAACUGAGAACUGAGUCGUUCAUAUCAGGCCACAACGAACAAAGACUUCCGACUGAUUGAGAAACACCCCCCAGAGGCUCCGCCCCCAGAGGCUCCGCCCCCAGAGGCUUCCCUCCAACCCUGAUACGAUUCAGGUGAUUUCUACAAAAACAAAUCUCGACACAGAGCGGACAUCAGCGCUUCUAAAGUGCAUCUAAAAACAUUUAUCCGUGAAGAGAACUAUAAUCAAACUUUUGAUUAGACAUUACGGUUUGUUUUGUGCGCUGCACAUGGAAACACAACUAAUUAGAUCUUUUAUGUGUGUUGUUACCAAAAAGUUACAUCUCAUCAAAAUGAGCUACUUCACACCAGUAAACAGCCGAAAAAUAAUCAGCACAUGUUCAUGGGACUGUGUGUUGCACGCAACAGCAAAAAUAUAAUUUUUUUUGACAAUUUGCAUAUUUUCAUGGCCUUCCACAGGCUGUUAAAAGGCAUAAAAGUGCACCCGCUCACAGGGACUCACACUCACACGUCGGGCUCCUCGUCUCCCAACAGCACGACUCCACACUGCAUCUUUCGCCAAACUUUCGCUCUUCACUCAUGGCUCCUUCUGCUUUCAUCACACGCUGUUUAGCAUUGGGAGGGAGGCAGGGAGGGAGGGAGGGAGGCAGGGAGGCAGAUGGGAUUCUAUGUAACAGUCAUGAGGUGGAUUUGAACAGACGACGCCGGGGACCUGAGCCCGCCACGCUGCACACGCACAACUUACAUUGCGAUCCCAACCAACCGCUUCUAUGAAUGCGAUGGCGAGCUCAAAGGCACGAGCAGAGUUGAUUAUUCUUAUUUUGGGGCGUGUGCGUGUAAUGGAAAAGGCACAUUUGCAUCCUGGAGUCCGCCGAGUGGCCGAGUCUCUCAAGCAUGAAAACAAUUGCAAGCUAGAAGCAAUUUUUUUUUUCUUUUUCGAUAUGUAUAAUUCCACAUUCUUAUUAUUCCUUGUGGUCUGGUAAUGGAGAUUGAAUAGAAAUAUGAGCCAGGCAAAGCUCCCCUGCACUCCCUCCCUCCAGUCCACUGGCAUUAAUUUAAUGCUUCAUCUAUCUAAUAUUAUAAUCCAAAAAGUGUCUCUGCUACUGUAACAUCAUCACCUCUGAGUCGUGGAGCGGAGACCCACAGGUAUAUACUAUUCCCACAGACUCCAACUCCAUCAGACUCCACACUUGUGUUUCAUUUGUGCAACUGCAAACUUUUGUGUGUGUGCGUGUGUGUGUGUGUGUGAACAGGAGCAGGCAGGUUCACCGUGUUGUGAAUGCUGCCCUCCUUCAGUCCCCGUGGACGUAACGGGGUGCAGUCUUAUGUGAACAACAGUGCGGACAAAGUGCACACGAAAACGUACAGCACUGUCCCUCGGGACGGGACUACACGAGAAUAAGUGUGUGUGAGUGUGUGUCCGCGUGGACGUCGGGAGGCCGAGGCUGAAAUAAGAGACACUGGAAAGGAGCCAAACCAGAGGACAAAUUGAGAGCUAGUUGAGUUGAAGCGGUAAACUAAUGCAGCGGGAAGCUAAACACGGAAAAUAAUAUGAGCCGCAAAUUAUCACCGAAGAUGAGCUUCGAGCCGGGAUGCAGCAUCCCGACUUUAAUAUGCAUUAGAUAACCUGAUUUUGACAUUUUAUUAAUAGGAAAGGUGUCUGCACAGGGUUACAGAUUUCUGUAUUUAAUCAGAGUUACAUUACUAUGGGGACUGUGUAUUAAAUAUCUUUUUAAGAAAGACACAAUAAUCACAUUUUUAUGCUAACGGCAUUUGAAUGUACGUAGGGUGUAGAGGGAAGCUGUUACCGCGGCCUGUGUGUAUCCUGCCGCUGGAUGCGUACGAGGCUGCGCUGUCCUUGAGGCAAUCAAUGCAUGACAUUGAUAUUCCUUUAGCAUGAGUAGAGAUGCCCGACAACUGAAGGCACACGCUGGCCUCAAGGGUAGCAAGAUAUACCUCUCUGCUAAUUUAAAUCAAUAACGCUUGACUUCAUGAGAAACAUAGAGAUCUAGAGAUUGUGAAAAACAAGAAAUCCCCAAAACAUUUAACUAUAUUCUAAACCACACGUAAAGAAAAACAAAUGUUGAAGCAAUUUAUCAAAAUUAGCAUGGCUCAUAUAAAAAUCACAGUCAACCCACAUGCACAUGCAGUUAAACAUCCUUGUACAGACAGCAAAAAUGUUGACACAAAAACACUGAGGAUGUGAUGUAGCAACCUUAUUAUUACUGAAUAUAUAUAUAUAUAUAUUUGUUAGGUCGAAAAAUAUUGAAAAGAACAUCAAAAUGAGUUAGCGUAAGUCAAGUCAUCGUGUUUGAAAAAAAAUGUAAAAAUAUGUCAGGUCAAAAAAUGUUUUGAAAAAUAGUCAAAAUAUGCUAGGUCAUAAAUAUGGGGAAAACGUCAAAUAUAUUUGAUAUAAAAAUAUCAGGUAGAGAAAUAUAAAAAUAAAUCUGAAAAAUAUUUGUUCAAAAAAUGUUUCCGAAAAAAUAUCAGUCGUGACAUAAAAAUAUUAGAAAAGAAAAUCAAAAAUUAUUAGGU
ensembl:lncRNA